CAAGAGCGGUUUAGAGCAAAUUACUGACUCUGAACUAAAUUGUCAGUAUAAUGCUUAAGCAAAAUGAGGACUAUACUGUAGUGAAAAAAUGUCUUGCAGGGAGUACUGUGUCAAAACAAUUUGUAUUUAAUACAUAUAAUGUGGAAAUGAACAAUAAGUUUGUUGAAAAAGAGGUUCAAAGUGGCUGGUUUAACUGUGAUUUGGUUUCACCAAAUUCCUGUGUUUUGGAAUACUACAGAACAGCAUUAAAGUUUUGUAUUUUUACUCCUACAUUCCUCUUUUAUUUAGAUUAUUAACUGAUAUAAUUGUAAUUGUAUUUGUGUACUGUCUAAGUGGGAAAUGUAAAAGGAUGAUGAAAAGUAGACGGGCAUCUGAAGGAAAAACAACACAGUUUCAAAGUAAAAUGAAACACACAAAUUUCUUUAAUAUAUAUAGUAAGUACUUAAAUUAACAUUUCAUUUUCAGAUUAUGUCAUAGGAUUAGGGAGAAAGGUUGCUGGUGGCAUAACAUUUCCCAUCUCGGACAUCAAAAGCCAUAUCACAAACUGAAGAAUUCGUCUGCAAGAAAGCACUGUUGAAAAAAACAUGUUGUGAAAAAAAUAACUUUUUUAUAUUUGCUCUGUGUACCGUGCCCGGAUGAUGAGCACAAAGCGGUCCUUGACAAAGGAAAGCUGGAUUUGUUGAUAGAUUAUGGCAUAGGAUGGGGCGAGAAUCGUGGACCUGAACAAUACUGUGAUAGAGAGGAAUUCCUACUCAAGAAAGCAGUUUAAAAAACGCAUUCAAUGUGAAAGAGUGAACUUUUUUAUUUUGGCCGUGUAUAAGAACAGUUUUUUUUUUUAAAGUGCAUGUCUAUCAAAUUAUUUUUUAUGUAUAUAUAUAUUGAAUAUGUUUGUUGUAUGUCUUUAAAAGCUACAUUGUAUCUUAAAAGUAUCAUCAAAAUGCGGAACGAAAAUGCGUACAUUUUCCGCAUAAGUUUCGCAUUUUUUGUGACUGCGGAAAAAAUGCGGGUAUUUUCUGCAUUUGUUUGCAGAAGUAUAAAGUAUAAAAUGGUGAUCCAUGUUUUUAAAAUGUAUUAUCUUAAAAUGAAUAUAAAGAUACUAUGUUAAA